GAUGAACGCUGGCGGCGUGCCUAAUACAUGCAAGUCGAGCGAAAAGACGAGGAGCUUGCUCCUCUGACGUUAGCGGCGGACGGGUGAGUAACACGUGGAUAACCUACCUAUAAGACUGGGAUAACUUCGGGAAACCGGCGCUAAUACCGGAUAAUAUAUUGAACCGCAUGGUUCAAUAGUGAAAGACGGUUUUGCUGUAACUUAUAGAUGGAUCCGCGCCGCAUUAGCUUGUUGGUAAGGUAACGGCUUACCAAGGCAACGAUGCGUUGCCGACCUGAGAGGCUGAUAGGCCACACUGGAACGGAGACACGGUCCAUACUCCUACGGGAGGCAGCAGUAGGGUAUCUUCCGCAACGGGCGAGAGCCUUACGGAACGACGCCGCGUGAGUGAUGAAGGUCUUCGGAUCGUAAAACUCUGUUAUGGGUGAAGAACAAAUGUGUAAUUAACUAUGCACGUCUUGACGGUACCUAAUCAGAAAGCCACGGCUAACUACGUG
rnacentral:rRNA from 1 species